rnacentral:lncRNA from 1 species
GUGAGCCGAGAUUUCGCCACUGCACUCCAGGCUGGGCAAUAGAGGGAGACUUUGCCUCAGAAAAAAAAAAAAAAAAAGAAUCACUAACCUGGUUCAGCCUUUUCAUUUGGCAGAUGAGAAAACUGAGGACUCAGAAAUUAAAUAACUUGCCUAAGAUGGUAGAGCUCUCUUCAAACAGAACCAGAAAUUAUGGUGCUACAAAAAUACCUGCUUAUCUUAGAGCCAAAACAUUUCAAUUUUAAAAAAUGGCCUCGUAUGGCAGAUACAUAAGUCAGCUCCAGAUCGACUGCAAGAACAAACCAGCAAUCCUGAGAGGAUCCACAGACUCUCUGAAGGAAGCAGACUGCUCCUGCAGGACCCAGGAGACCCCCAAAUACUAUCCUGUGCAUGUCCACGGAGCGUUUCUGAUCCAGCUCCCCGUUUUUAAUAAGGAACUCUUCAACAAGAAAUAAACUC